ensembl:lncRNA
GGUACUCCGAAGUCAUAAAAGUUGCUGGAAAGAGACCAUUAGAGUCUUGUGGUCCUGAACAAUGUUAUAUGAAGUAGAAGAAAAUAAAAUGCUUCCCAGCUGUGUGUUUUGUUUUUAUAACACCUUGUCCUGUAUUACUUGAUAUUUUAACAAGUAUCAGGUACUCUUUAACAAGAAUACAAUAAUAUUUACAAAGGGAAGUAUUAAAUUUUAACUAGAGAACUUUUUUUGGCAAAUAAUUUCAUAGACUGUAGAUGUACGUUUAAUCUUAGUUUGUACAGUAGAUAAAAUAAUUUAUAUCGAUAAAAUAGCAAAUGCCUAAUAACCAUUAGCAUAUUAUUAUAUUAUCCUUUCUGGUCUCAGCUGGAAGAGUUAACUGCUGUCUUCAAUAUGGUAAUGUGGCCACCUCUUGGUAUGUAUUCCUUUAGCAACCUGAUCUGUCAGGAAAUAUCCAGCAACUCUGAAGUAAGCCUACAGAUUAGCAAAAUAUCAAGCCCAUCUCUCUUCCAUUUCCCCUCUCCCCUCCCCCACCUGAAAAAGGAAAAAAAAGCUUAUUUUAAGGAAAACUAUGGAGCUACCUUUGGGCCAGAAUAAUGUGGAAAAAUUACAUAAUGCUGGUUAUUUAAAUAAGUUUAGGAAAGCAGAUUAGAAGCAACAGGAUAGAGCCUAUAGAACCUAAAAUAAUAUGGAAUAGUGAGGAAGGAUCUACAGCUACAGAAGCAGCAACUGUAAAAUGAACAUUUGUCAUACUUCAGGAGUUUCUGAGAUCAGUACUUUGUUAUAGUAGAUUAUUAUAUUUGAUGGUCAUAGUGUUGACCCUGAAAUCUUCCUCAGAAAGCUUAGGGGUCCACACCCGGCAGUAGAAUUUUACUAAGCAAUAAGUCAAGGCAUUUUAGGACCAACUCCAUCAAAAAGAUGGUUUAAAAAUUUUUUAAGCUAUCAUUCCUUUAAGAUGUGAAUAAAAAGUUCACUUAUAUGAAUCACGUUUAUUCCUGAUGAUGUAAGAUAAAAUGAGAUAUUUGUGUUCUAAAAAUAACAGCAUUUAAUCUGGGGACCUGUCCAAUUUAGGAUAUAUAUAAAUACAAUUUAUAAUGUUUCAAGCUCAGCCAAUGUCUUCAUGUGCUAAUGAGCAAAGCAGUUAAAACAGAUUGUUAGUUUGAAAACAUGACUUGUAAAUGUGUGCAAGAUACAGUACUGGUACAGCUAAUAAUGGUAAGCUGACUACAAUGUCCUCUCCUUGAAUUUAUAUAUAAUAAUAUUUUAUGUCAUAUUGAUUUUAAGUCAUGAUUUCCAACCUAAUUAUUAGUUCAUUAGUAUUUUUAAAACAAUUACCCAGAUAGCCUCUUCUAGGUGUCUGUGUGUGCGUAUACAUGUUUUAAGUGUUUUCAGUUGUAGUAAUCCUGAUGAAUGUUAAUCCUCAAAAAAAAAAAAGAAAAGAAUUAUGAGACAUUUACUUCUGUUUUAAAUUGAUUAUAAAAUAACUGAAAUUUUGAAUAUAAAUCAAAGUCUAUAUAUCGUUUUCUUUGUAUUAAAAUACAGUUUAGGGAGAUUUGUAAAGUUUUAUGAACCAUUACUAAACCUGCUAAUUUCUAAGGUCUAUAAGACAGUUUUAUAUAUAUCUAUUUCCAAAAAUUCCCCCAAUAUUAAUAUAUUAAUAUUCUAAAUUAGUGAAAAUUUGCAUUGACUUAAAAUGUGAGGUAGAUAUUUUUGUUUAAAUAUUGUUUAAAAUUUAGUUCAUUUAAAAAAUUCUGAUGUAAUAAAACAUUGAAUAAAAGAAUGCUUCUACAAACAAUAAAAACAAUAUUUUUCAUAUUC